UACGUAGGUGACAAGCGUUGUCCGGAUUUACUGGGCGUAAAGAGCGCGCAGGCGGUCGAUCAAGUCGAGUGUGAAAGCCCCCGGCUCAACUGGGGAGGGUCAUUCGAAACUGAUCGACUUGUAGGCAGGAGAGGGUAGUGGAAUUCCCGGUGUAGUGGUGAAAUGCGUAGAUAUCGUGAGGAAGACCAGUGGCGAAGGCGAUUCUCUGGGCAGUUCCUGACACUGAGGCACGAAGGCUAGGGGAGCAAACGGG
rnacentral:rRNA from 1 species